rnacentral:lncRNA from 1 species
GCUAAAUCCCCGGCCCUCAAUAAAUUUUUUUGUCAUACUGCUUUUCACAUUUUAUCUUACAGAGAUCUCAGAUGGUAAUUUAAAUAGCAGUACUCAUAGAUAAAGAUGUGUCAACUGCCAAACAACUAUGAGAGCCAUGCACUUUGGUGAAAUAUGAAGCAGUCAUGGCGCCACUGAGCUACAUCCUCGGUCCUGUCUAAAGUCUUAAGAAGCAUUUGAGAGACAUCUUUCAAUCCUUGUGGAGCAGAAAUGAUGAAUCACAUUUUAUUCAGUCUUACAGAAAACCAACAUAAUCAAAAGGCACAAUUCAGUGAGAAAUUUCAGUUGAAGAAUUUGAUGAUUUCUAACUCUGAAAUCUGACUCAGGUAAGGAGUGUACUAAGGUAGGUUACAGGGAAUUUGAUGUCAAGUUCAAAACUUGUGUGACUUGUUAAUAAGCUGGAUAAAGAGAAAAAACAAAAACAGAAAGAAGGUAAAGGAUGUGAGACUAAAGCAAAAUAGAAAACAAGCAAAC